rnacentral:rRNA from 1 species
GCGGCCAGACUCCGGUUGAUCCUGCCGGACCCGACCGCUAUCGGGGUGGGGCUAACCCAUGGGAGUCUGGGAGCCAGGGCAACGGCUGGCUCCGGCAGACGGCUCAGUAGCACGUGGCUAACCUACCCUCGGGAGGGGGAUAACCCCGGGAAACUGGGGAUAAUACCCCAUAGGCGCAGGCACCUGGAAUGGGCCUGCGCUGAAAGGGGCGCAGCGCCAUGCCCGCUGUGCCCGCCCGAGGAUGGGGCUGCGCCCUAUCAGGAAG